GUGCUCGCUUCGGCAUCACAUAUACUAAAAUUGGAACGAUACAGAGAAGAUUAGCUGGCUCCUGUGCAAGGAUGACAUGCAAAUUUGUGAAGUGUUCCAUAUUUUU
ensembl:snRNA U6 U6 spliceosomal RNA